rnacentral:tRNA from 6 species
CGGGUUGUGGCGAAAUUGGUAGACGCGCCAGAUUUAGGUUCUGGUUCCGAGAGGAGUGGGAGUUCGAUUCUCCCCAACCCGACCA